rnacentral:rRNA from 1 species
AGAUUGAACGCUGGCGGCAGGCCUAACACAUGCAAGUCGAGCGGCAGCACGGGUACUUGUACCUGGUGGCGAGCGGCGGACGGGUGAGUAAUGCCUAGGAAUCUGCCUGAUAGUGGGGGAUAACGCUCGGAAACGGACGCUAAUACCGCAUACGUCCUACGGGAGAAAGCAGGGGACCUUCGGGCCUUGCGCUAUCAGAUGAGCCUAGGUCGGAUUAGCUAGUUGGUGGGGUAAUGGCUCACCAAGGCGACGAUCCGUAACUGGUCUGAGAGGAUGAUCAGUCACACUGGAACUGAGACACGGUCCAGACUCCUACGGGAGCAGCAGUGGGAAUAUGGACAAUGGGCAAAGCCUGAUCCAGCCAUGCCGCGUGUGUGAAGAAGGUCUUCGGAUUGUAAAGCACUUUAAGUUGGAGAAGGCAAGUUACCUAAUACGUAUCUGUUUGACGUUACGACUAGAAUAGCACGCUAACUCUGUG